rnacentral:rRNA from 1 species
GACGAACGCUGGCGGCGUGCCUAAUACAUGCAAGUCGAACGCAGUUGGGACGGGUGAGUAACACGUGGGUAACCUCCCAUCAGAGGGGAUAACACUUGGAAACAGGUGCUAAACCGAUACUGAUGGAUGGACCCGCGGGGCAUGAGCUGGUGGGUGGGGCAGCGGCUCAACAAGGCCACGAGGCAUAGCCGGCCUGAGAGGUGGAGCGGCCACACUGGGACUGAGACACGGCCCAGACUCCUACGGGUGGCAGCAGUAGGGAAUCUUCGGCAAUGGACGAAAGUCUGACCGAGCAACGCCGCGUGAGUGAAGAAGGUUUUCGGAUCGUAAAACUCUGUUGUUAGAGAAGCGGUAUCUAACCAGAAAGCCACGGCUAACUACGUGCCAGCAGCCGCGGUAAUAC